CAAAGAGGUUGUAGAAAAAAUGGUUUUAAAAGUAAAAAAAAAAAAAGUUGACCACGCCCACUCAGUCAUAUUAACCCCCCCUACCAAGCCACGCCCACAGAACCGGUAGUAACAAAUUUUACAUUUCACUACUGGAAGAAAUGUCCAAUUCCAAACCAGAAGAAAGGCAUGGGAGAUAAAAUGGAGGCUGGAGACUGAUUGGAAAGAAAAGUUGUCUUUAUUCAUGAAGCAGAACCGCCAACCACAUGUGAUUCUGGGCAGUUGACAAAAUGGAGUUGAGAGUGGGUGGGUUUUUAUACCUUCUUUGGGCUUUGUAUUUGAGCUUCCUGCUCCUGUGCAAGCACAUUGAGGUCUAAUAGGAAAGGGUACCUGUAGCUCACUUGAACAUCAUCAGAUGUUACCUACAUUCAGUAAUGAAAUAUCUGCAAACAAACAUGCUCAGAGAGCACCAAGGUCGUCCUACAAAAGGCUCUUCAUACAAUUGUGAGAUGCUUGUAAUCGGCCUUGCAAGGACCCCUAUCUGCAUAACUAUCCUGUCUCCCCCUCCCCUUGCCCCCUGCCUCGCUCUAUUUAAAUCUCCCAUCAAGUCAAGCCACUCCAUGCAUCUGAUGAAGUGAUCUGCAAACUCACAAAAGCUGAUUGCCUUAAAUAAAACUGUUAGGCUCAAAAGGUGCUAUAAGUCUCUUUACAAACGUCAGUUUACUGCUCACCCUAAAUGCUGGCUAUCACAUUAAACCAAGAAAAGGGGAAAAAAAGAAGAAGAAGAAGCAAGACUUGGGUUUCAUGCUAGUAUCACUUUGUCAAUGCUUUUCCUCAUGCAUUUUAUUUUAUUAGCAAAACGAAGUCAGAAUUGUUAGACGAACCUGAUUCAUUUCUUAAUGUACUCCUCGGUCCAAGGCCAGAAGUUCCUCAGCAAAAUAUCAGUGGUAGUAUUCAUCUGGUUCUAUCCGGUUCGGGCAAACUGGUAGCGGCGACUGAGGGAGGCUCUGCCCACCUGCCCGGACGUCAUCACAUCCCGUUUUUGAUGCUCUGCGCAUACACGGAAGGCUCUGCGCCAGAGGUUCAGUGCAAGUUUCUGUAUCCUGGUUCCAUUUUGGCCUUUCCACUACCCGGUGAGGGCCGCUCUCCUCAGGGUUCCGACGGCGAGCCAAUGUCACCUUGCUGUGCCCAGGGAUAGGGCGUUCUCUGUGGGUGCUCCCACCCUCUGGAAUGAAUUACCUACUGAUCUCCAGAUGGCUCCUGAUCUCCGCUCCUUCCGUCGGGACUUGAAGAUUUGGCUUUUCAAACAAAUAGGCUGAGACUGAUUCUGGGCUUUAUUAUUUACUACUAAUUAAUUAUUUGGAUUAAAUUAUGAUUUUAUUGUACUUGUUUCUUAACUUGUGUUCGCCGCCCUGAAUCCUUCGGGAGAAUGGCGGCAUAUAAAUACAUGUAAUAAAUAAAUAAAUAAAUUUGUAGGACGUCA